AGAUUGAACGCUAGCGGGAUGCCUUACACAUGCAAGUCGAACGGCAGCACGGGGGCAACCCUGGUGGCGAGUGGCGAACGGGUGAGUAACAUAUCGGAACGUGCCCUGGAGUGGGGGAUAACUAGUCGAAAGAUUAGCUAAUACCGCAUACGAUCUACGGAUGAAAGUGGGGGAUCGCAAGACCUCAUGCUCGUGGAGCGGCCGAUAUCUGAUUAGCUAGUUGGUGGGGUAAAGGCCUACCAAGGCAUCGAUCAGUAGCUGGUCUGAGAGGACGACCAGCCACACUGGGACUGAGACACGGCCCAGACUCCUACGGGAGGCAGCAGUGGGGAAUUUUGGACAAUGGGCGAAAGCCUGAUCCAGCAAUGCCGCGUGAGUGAAGAAGGCCUUCGGUUGUAAAGCCUUUGUCAGGAGAACGGUGGAGUUAAUACCUUCUGCUAAUGACGGUACCUAGAAGAAUAAGACACCGGACUAACUACGUGCCAGCAGCCGUA
rnacentral:rRNA from 1 species